rnacentral:tRNA from 1 species
UUACUUUGGCAGAGGAUAUGCGUUAAAUUUAGAAUUUAAUUAUAUAGAAGAGCACUCUAUAGGUAAAAG